rnacentral:misc_RNA from 1 species
AUGAAGCAGCCCUUCAUAUACACCUGUGAACUGUUCCCCUUCAUUGGGGCUAUUUUACAAACUCUAGUGUUGUAAUGAAUGUCCAGUUAUUCGUAACAAAGCA